CUGGCUCAGGAUGAACGCUAGCGGCAGGCUUAACACAUGCAAGUCGAGGGGCAUCGGGAGUAGCAAUACUGCCGGCGACCGGCGCAAGGGUGCGUAACGCGUGAGCAACAUGCCCGUAUCAGGGGGAUAAUCCAUGGAAACGUGGUCUAAUACCCCAUAGUAAUUAUGUAAGGCAUCUUAUAUAAUUUAAAGCUUUGGUGGAUACGGAUUGGCUCGCGUGACAUUAGCUGGAUGGUAAGGUAACGGCUUACCAUGGCUACGAUGUCUAGGGGUUCUGAGAGGAAGGUCCCCCCACACUGGAACUGAGACACGGUCCAGACUCCUACGGGAGGCAGCAGUGAGGAAUAUUGGACAAUGGAUGGAAAUCUGAUCCAGCCAUGCCGCGUGCAGGAAAAGACGGCCCUAUGGGUUGUAAACUGCUUUUGUAUGGGAGCAAUAAGGGCUACGUGUAGUCCGAUGAGAGUACCAUACGAAUAAGCACCGGCUAACUCCGUGCCAGCAGCCGC
rnacentral:rRNA from 1 species